rnacentral:lncRNA from 1 species
CUUGAGGACGAUCUCCAAACCCUGAAGCAACUCCGCUCCGACGUGGAGCGCCACUCCGAUCCGUCGCUCCCGACGCGCCGUGACCUCCUCCAAACCUACUACAAAUCCCUCUGUCUCGUGGAGACGCGGUUCCCUAUCUCCUCCGACCCCGACCACGUCAACGCCCUCACCUACAAAUCCCUCUGUCUCGUGGAGACGCGGUUCCCUAUCUCCUCCGACCCCGACCACGUCAACGCCCUCACCUUCGUCUGGUUCGACGCCUUCAAGCCCAAGCAGAAGGCCUCGCAGCAAAACAUCCACCUCGAGAAGGCCUCCGUGCUCUUCAAUUUGGGCGCAGUUUACAGCCAGAUUGGUUUGUCAUAUGAUCGGAACACCGUGGACGGCCGCCG